UACUAUAUAGUUUAAAUUAAAACACUAAUUUUGUAAAUUAAUAUUAAAUUAAAAAUAAUUUUAUAGUAA
rnacentral:tRNA from 1 species